rnacentral:rRNA from 1 species
UACAGAGGUCCCGAGCGUUGUUCGGAUUCAUUGGGCGUAAAGGGCGCGUAGGCGGCCACCGCAAGUCGACUGUGAAAUCUCCGGGCUUAACCCGGAACGGUCAGCCGAUACUGCGGGGCUAGAGUGCAGAAGGGGCAACUGGAAUUCUCGGUGUAGCGGUGAAAUGCGUAGAUAUCGAGAGGAACACCUGCGGCGAAGGCGGGUUGCUGGGCUGACACUGACGCUGAUGCGCGAAAGCUAGGGGAGCGAACGGG